ensembl:snoRNA
UUGCCAGCCAAUUAAUCUGCUUAUUUUAAUGUGUUUUCUGCUGAAAUUUAGAAAAAAAGCUGGUAAUAGUGAUGUCAUGUUAUGAGCUUUAAGGAUAGCUGAGGUCAUUAAGGUCCCUAAAAAUGGCUACAGUA